UACGGAGGGUGCGAGCGUUGUCCGGAAUCAUUGGGCGUAAGGGCGCGUAGGUGGCCCGGUCAGUUCGUGGUGAAAGCGCGGGGCUCAACCCUGCGUCGGCCAUGAAUACUGCCGCGGCCGGAGCACUGUAGAGGCAGGCGGAAUUCCGGGUGUAGCGGUGGAAUGCGUAGAGAUCCGGAAGACACCGGUGGCGAAGGCGGCCUGCUGGGCAGUUGCUGGACACUGGAGGCGCGACA
rnacentral:rRNA from 1 species